rnacentral:rRNA from 1 species
GUUCGGAUUGAAGGCUGAAAUUCGCCUUCAUGAAGCUGGAAUUGCUAGUAAUGGCAGGUCAGCAUACUGCCGUGAAUACGUUCCCGGGCCUUGUACACACCGCCCGUCACACCAUGAGAGUUGGGAAUACCCGAAGCCUGUGAGCUAACUUAUAGAGGCAGCAGUCGAAGGUAGAAUCAAUGAUUGGGGUGAAGUCGUAACAAGGUACC